ensembl:lncRNA DNM3-IT1 DNM3 intronic transcript 1
UGCAGGGAUUGCAAGGACACCUGCUGUAUUUAAAAUGCUGCAUUUUCUUGGCAUACCAUUUAAGACAAAUUACAAAAACCUAUAACUGAAGCCUGUUUUUCCAAAAGGUCUCCAGCUGCCUGAACAUUAAGGAGCUGUGCCAGUAAGGAGGACAAGACCUGGUAACUGGUUAAAAGAAGCUAACAGAGCUCAUGAUAAGGCUUGCCAGCCUAGAGGACAAACUGCCAGUUGUCUAUAGAACAGACAGGACUUGUGGGAGCAUAGUGUGUUAAGUGGAGGCCCCUGAGCUUAGAAAAAGGGGCUUUCCUAUUAGGCAGGAACCAAGAGAAGCACAAAGAGAUCAUAGUUUAUAAAUAUGCAACAGACACCUCUGUUUGGAAGGAGGCACAACACUUA